rnacentral:sRNA from 14 species
UCGACGUCGUGAGGAAGGGGAACAUGAUGACGAUACAGAUAACGGUGAUAUCGUAAACAUUCUGACCACAAUAACUGUUAAUAACAAUAACAACAGUAGUAAGCAACAACCCCAAUGGAAUGGAAUGAUGCGAUCAUUUAUCGUCCCCAAUCAGUAUCGACGGUGCCUUCAUUUCCGA